CACGUACAUGCACAGUUUGUAUGCACGUCGGGAUCAGGUGUCGUACAUGUAAAUCGACAUCUUCGACGACCAAAUCGUUUGGCUUUUACGACUCAACUUUUCAUCCCCCUGUAUCUUUAGAUUUCAAAAAAAAAAAAAAAAAAAGGAGCAAGUGCCAGUUCCUGCACUUUUACCUUUUUUGACUUCCUCUUUUUGCGUAGUAGGAUACCAAUCUAAUUCAAAGUGUGUCGCCUUAACCGUGUCGGCUUUCAAGAUUCAGGAGCUCGAAAGGCAAACGGGUUGGUCGGGUUGCUGUACCACGACAUCAGGGCCGUCAUACUGCGCACCACUAACACGUGUACACCUAUGAAACCUAUUCGUUAUUGUCUUUUUUGUCAAGUGAGAAUGUAACAGGACUAAGAAUCGAGAUAUACCUACAGGAAAUACAGAAAAUUGCGUAGCGUAGUUUGAUAUUGAAUCCAAUGUCUUCGUGACUCGGUGAGUUUGGGAAAGUGAACCUGCACACUUUAUUGAGAUAGUUAGACCUGUGAGUUAUAUAUCCAAAUGCAUCUGAAGAAUGACAAAUACGUAGCAGAAAGCAAUACCGUUUGAAAUGUAACAACCAAAAAAAAGGAAAAAGAGUCGCAGUGAGUUGCAUUUUGCCUCUGUGAAUAUAAGCCCUUGUCUCGACAUCGUUUCUCAUCUGUCUUUCUCAUCUGUUCGCUUCUAUUACUCACGGAGAACUUUGUCACCAGCCUUUGCCUUUACUGAAUUCUGCAGCCAAUUUCCAAAUUUCUCUCGCGAAGAAGCCGAAACUCUUGGAUAUCAAAGUCGAGUAACGAUUUCGUCAACUGGCGGGAGUCUUGGCGGCGACGUUCUUGUCAAAAUGAAGUGCGUCGCAUACUUGACUGAUUCCCGAGAAAAUCAGCCACUGUGCAGCAACCCCCCCAUCCCCUCUUUUCUCGCAGCCAACCAACGAAACAAGUACGUAGUACGAAAGUCUUUGGGAUUAUAUCUAGGCUGGAAUUCAAAAUAGUUCGGUCGCCCCUUCACUGUGACUGCCUUUAAUUGACAUCACAAAACUACUUGACGAUGACUCGCUAUGCUACGCGAAUUGAAGUGCGUUAUACAUUCCCGCAGACACUCUUCUAAAAUAAAGAAAAGACUAGUCGGUACGGACUCUAUGACCGAAAAAAAUGAAUAAAGAAUAUGCACAAGAACCACCCAAACAAAAGUUGCCUGUAAACUGAAGAAUUAUUUAAAGGAUUUCUCAAAGUUUUUCAAGUUCUUUUCGUACAAGUUUCAUUGUCUUGAAGGUGGUCUCCGUUAGCAGCAGCAGCAGUAGCAGCUGGUUGAAACGGUACGGCAUAUUUUUAAGACGCGUCAAAAGAAAUAAAUGAAUGAAGAAAAAUGAGUCGUUCAAGUGGAUCCUAUUCAGCAGCGUCAAAUUGGGGACACAAAAAAGAAGCGUGUGUACUAAAAACUCCGAAUGCCAGACACAUGCCAAGGAGCCUCGAGCCGACACGGAACAAGAAGAAUCCUUUAUGUAUAGUCAUGUACACACUGGGUGGUCGUCCGAAGCUCUCAUCCGUGCAUAUCCCUAAUGAACAAAUGAGAGAUAACUGCUGGCGAGGAAAGAGGGGGGAAAAAAACGUAAUAGCCAUGGCGAUAUUCUCUUAUUAUACAAUCUCGGCUUCUCCUAGAGGCUACAGCGUCGAUUCCGCGGUUGGUCAGAGCGUCAUUGCCCGCCUCUCAAACGACCUAUUCUUUCCCGUUUUUUGUUUGUUCACGACAAGAGUAUAAUACCCGUCCAAUUGAUUUUCCUUUUUCUCAAAAUUGUAAUCUGGUAUACUUUCAUAACCCGGCACUUUGGAAGAAAAAAACGAAAACUGUACCUUGGCAUUUACGUAUUCAAAAUAAAACGUCUUCUCCCAAG